rnacentral:pre_miRNA from 1 species
AACUUACUCCCUCCGUCCGGAAAUACUUGUCGAAGAAAUGCAUAAAAACGGAUGUAUCUAAAACUAAAAUACGUCUAGAUACAUCCAUUCCUCCGACAAGUAUUUCCGGACGGAGGGAGUAUUAG